rnacentral:tRNA from 1 species
GCGCUCAUAGCUCAGAUGGAUAGAGCAACGGACUUCUAAUCCGUAGGUCGCAGGUUCGAAUCCUGCUGAGCGCG